rnacentral:rRNA from 1 species
CAAUAGCGUAUAUUAAAGUUGUUGCAGUUAAAAAGCUCGUAGUUGAAUUUUUGCUUGCCGCCGAUGUCGGAACUUCCGUACGUUCGGCGGCGUGCAUCCUUGGGUGGAACCUGUGUGGCAUUAGGUUGUCGUGCAGGGGAUGCUCAUCGUUUACUGUGAAAAAAUUAGAGUGUUCAAAGCAGGCUUAUGCCGUUGAAUAUAUUAGCAUGGAAUAAUAAGAUAGGACCUUGGUACUAUUUUGUUGGUUUGCGCACCGAGGUAAUGAUUAACAGGGACAGUUGGGGGUAUUCGCAUUCCAUUGUCAGAGGUGAAAUUCUUGGAUUUCUGGAAGACGAACUACUGCGAAAGCAUUUACCAAGGAUGUUUUCAUUAA